rnacentral:lncRNA from 1 species
GCGGCCCGGCGCCGUGGGGACGGCGGAGGGAGCCCCAUCCAACCCCCGUGGAGAGGGGGGGGAGCGCGGCCGGCGGAGGUACCGUGGAGGGCUCGGGCGGACGGAGCGGGAUGGGCAGCGGGAGCGCUCCCCCUCGCCUGCGGGUCCGGCGGAGAGGCUGCCCCUAUCGGAGCCGGGCGGGACGGCAGUUGCGGCGCCGGGGAGUCCCGUGGCGUCAGGGUUUAACUCCUGGUUUAAACGUUAGAAGUACCUAAUAGCCUUUAAACGCACGGUGACGUCCGGCAGCUCUUGUUCCCGGGCGGAGAUUGGCCCCGCUUGUUUAUCUCUUCCACGGCAGGGCACGUAGCAUUGCUUGGGCCAGACGAGGGCUCCUGGUCAUGGUACAGCAGUUGACAGCGUGUUAUUAAAAGCUGCGUGUUAGGCCAGCACCGGUUUAAAGACCUCUGCAACAAUAUUAUGUAUAUUGCCGCCUCUUGAAAUAGCCAGGCUACCUAUCUGAAAAAUGCACAAUGACAAAUUUGGGCCAGGAUUUAAAGCAGCCUUUUUUUUAAAAAAAAAAAAGCCUGCUUUAGUAAGUGUUAUUUUUAGCUUUUUACUUUUAAUGCCACUGUGGUGUGCUUGUGCUCCCAUGGGAAAGACUGAGUCUGUGUAUUUUCUCUCUUAUGAGGAGAGACUGUGGGAGCUGGGCCUGUUUAGUCUGGAGAAGAGCAGAUCGAGAGGGGAUCUCAUGAAUGCAUGUAAAUAUCUCAAAGGCAGGUGUCAGGAGGAUGGUGCCAGACUCUUCAGUGGUGCCCAGUGACAGGACGAGGAGCAAUGGCCAUAAACUAAAACAGGAGAAGUUUCACCUCAACAUGAGGAAGAACUUCUUUGUGCUGAGGGUGUCAGAGCACUGGAACAGCUGCCCAGGAGGUUGUGGAGUCUCCCUCUCUGGAGACAUUUAAAACCCACCUGGACACGUUCCUGUGUACCUGCUCUGGGUGGCCUUGCCUUGGCAGGGGGGUUGGGCCAUAUGAUCUCCAGAGGUCCCUUCCAAUCCUAAUGAUCCUGUGAUAAUGUGAUUUGAUGAUUUUAGCAGGAGUGCAUGAGCC